rnacentral:rRNA from 1 species
GACGAACGCUGGCGGCGCGCCUAACACAUGCAAGUCGAACGAGCGAGAGAGAGCUUGCUUUCUUGAGCGAGUGGCGAACGGGUGAGUAACGCGUGAGGAACCUGCCUCAAAGAGGGGGACAACAGUUGGAAACGACUGCUAAUACCGCAUAAGCCCACGACCCGGCAUCGGGUCGAGGGAAAAGGAGCAAUCCGCUUUGAGAUGGCCUCGCGUCCGAUUAGCUAGUUGGUGAGGUAACGGCCCACCAAGGCGACGAUCGGUAGCCGGACUGAGAGGUUGAACGGCCACAUUGGGGCUGAGACACGGCCCAGACUCCUACGGGAGGCAGCAGUGGGGAAUAUUGCACAAUGGGGGAAACCCUGAUGCAGCGACGCCGCGUGGAGGAAGAAGGUCUUCGGAUUGUAAACUCCUGUUGUGGAGGAAGAUAAUGACGGUACUCAACAAGGAAGUGACGGCUAACUACGUG